UUGCCGGAUUAAACCCUGUUGCAAUUACCCUUCUCAAAGAGUUUCCCCCGACUAGCAAGCUUGAUCCAGCAGUCUAUGGAGACCACACCAGUUCAAUAACCAA